UGAAGUGCGCGUGUGCAAUAACUCAAUUCGCCUUUGCGCUCCUUCGAAACAAAGCGAUUGUGUUUUACAACUUUGGCGAAGGUUAAGUCUACUCUGUUCAUAACCGAUUCUAGUUUUGGGAACAGAAAACUGUAGAGAUCAAAUGUUUAAUCGAUGAGAAAUUUUGCAGAAUGUCGACCAAAAUCCAUCUUCUCCCACGGGGCUUUCUCUCGCUAACAUAUUUCCUCUCACUGUGGAAACGCAAAGGGGAUUCUUCACAUGUAUUCAUCUGGUGAAAUAUCUGUUCCGUCUCUGGCUGGAUCUCUUCAAGCCAUGACCCGGUUCUGGUCGGCGAAUGUAUGUCGCAAGUGACAUCACUUGCGGCCAAUAAACUGCGAAACUGGCGUGGAAUGACUAUUUAAUUGAUAGAUGAAUUGCAUCUUAUUGGAUUUUUGUUUGUCAAACACCAAGCGACAUUGUAGAUUAAAGACUUGUUUAGGUAGAAAAGAAACACCGUGAGCGCUACCAUGUUUAAAAGCUAGCAUCGUUACCAUGGGGACUGGCUCCAAUCGCAACCUCAGAUGGCUAGCUAGAUAGUUAAGCAGCUAAAUCAAAUCAAAUUGCAUUGGUCAUUAGUUCCGUGUGUGCACAUCAACACCCACAAAUUGAGCACUAUACUCAAAUGUAAUGUUGACAGUUUGUGGUUUACGUUACAACUGGCUAUGUGGUAGAGCUAAACAAAUAACAUUACCAAGUUUAGGCUUGCCAACUACAUGACCAGAUUUGAUGAGAAGGAAAAUGUUUCCAACUGUAUUCAGUUGAAGACCUCGGUAAUCAAAAGCAUCAAAAACCAGCUAUUGGACCAGUUUCCAGACAUUGAGUCAAGGCUCAACCAUAGCAUGCCAAAAAGGAUCCUGUCAAAAUAGUGAGAUGCCAUGAACACAUUGAAAUCUUGACAGUGAAUGGAGAAUUGCUCUUCUUCAGACAAAGAGAAGGACCGUUCUACCCAACUCUCCGACUGCUGCAUAAGUACCCUUUUAUUCUUCCACACCAACAAGUAAAGGGGCCAUCAAGUUUGUCCGAAGUGGAGCCAAUAUCAUGUGCACUGGAUUGACAUCCCCAGGUGCCAAACUCUACCCUUCUGCCUCAGAAACAGUAGUUGUAUCCUUCCUUUGACCGAUAAGCUGAUCAUGUACGGUGCCUUGAGAAAGUAUACAUACACCUUGACUUAUUCCACAUUGUGUUACAGCCUGAAUUCAAAAUUUAUGAAAUGCUUUUUCUCACCCAUCUACACACAAUCCCAUUACGAGAGUUAAAACCUGUUUAGACAUUUUUGCAAAUGUAUUGAUAAUGAAAUGGAGAAAUAUCACAUAAGUAUUCAUACCCCUGAGUCAACGUCAGAAUCACCCUUUGCAGUGAUUACACCAGGAUUGUUCAAUCUUUUUAAACUUAUUCAAGCUUUGUCAAGUUGAUGUUGAUCAUUGCAAGACACCCAUUCAAGUCUUGCCAUAGAUUUAAGUAGAUUUAAGUUGAAAUUGUCACUCGGGAACAUUCAAUGUGAUCUUGGUAAGCAACUUGUGUAUAUUUGGCCCUGCGUUUUAGGUUAUUGUCCUGCUGAAAGGUGAAUUGUCACCCAGUGUCUGUUGGAAAGCAGACUGAACUAGGAUUUUUUUUCUGUGCUUAGCUAUAUUCCAUUUAUUUGUAUCCAAAAUAAAUUCCUUGUCCUUGCCUAUGACAAGCAUACUCAUAACAUGAUGCAGCCACCACCAUGCUUGAAAAUAUGAGGAGUGAUACUCAGUGAUGUUGUUGGAUUUGCCCCAAACAUAAUGCUUUGUAUUCAGGACAAAAAAGUACAUUUCUUUGAAUUUUAUUUUUGAAGUUUUACUUCAGUGACUUAUUGCAAACAGGACUUAUGUUUUGGAAUAUUUUUUAUUCUGUACAGGCAUUCUUUUCACUCUGUCAUUUAGAUUAUUUACUCCACAAUACUAUGUUGUUGUUCCAUCCUCCGUUUUCUCCUAUCACAGCCAUUAAACUCCACAACUGUUUUAAAGUCAC